UUGAGUGUAGCUCAGUGGUAGAGCAUAUGAUUAGUGUGUACAAGGCCCUGAGUUCAAUACCUAGCACACAUG
rnacentral:tRNA from 1 species